rnacentral:rRNA from 1 species
UAGAGUUUGAUCCUGGCUCAGGAUGAACGCUGGCGGUAUGCCUAAUACAUGCAAGUCGUACGAAAGUUUUUAACUUUAGUGGCGGACGGGUGAGUAACGCGUGAGAAUUUACCUUUAGGAGGGGGAUAACAACUGGAAACGGUUGCUAAUACCCCAUAUGCUUUCGAGUGAAAUAGAUUUAUCUGCCUGAAGAGAAGCUCGCGUCUGAUUAGCUUGUUGGUGGGGUAACGGCCUACCAAGGCGACGAUCAGUAUCUGGUUUGAGAGGAUGAUCAGACACACUGGAACUGAGACACGGUCCAGACUCCUACGGGAGGCAGCAGUAGGGAAUUUUCCGCAAUGGGCGAAAGCCUGACGGAGCAAUACCGCGUGAGGGAAGACUGCCUAUGGGUUGUAAACCUCUUUUUUCAGGGAGGAAUUUUGACGUGUACCUGAAGAAUAAGCAUCGGCUAACUCCGUGCCAGCAGCCGCGGUAAGACGGAGGAUGCAAGUGUUAUCCGGAAUCACUGGGCGUAAAGCGUCUGUAGGUGGUUGAACAAGUCAACUGUUAAAUCUUGAAGCUCAACUUCAAAAUCGCAGUCGAAACUGUUUGACUAGAGUAUAGUAGGGGUAAAGGGAAUUUCCAGUGGA